rnacentral:rRNA from 1 species
GACGAACGCUGGCGGCGUGCUUAACACAUGCAAGUCGAACGGUGAAGCGCCUUCCUUUUUGGUGGGUGUGGAUGAGUGGCGAACGGGUGAGUAACACGUGAGUAACCUGCCCCCUUCUUCUGGAUAACCGCAUGAAAGUGUGGCUAAUACGGGAUAUUCUGGGUCUGUCGCAUGAUGGGUCUGGGAAAGAUAUUGUUUCGGUGGGGGAUGGGCUCGCGGCCUAUCAGCUUGUUGGUGGGGUGAUGGCCUACCAAGGCGGUGACGGGUAGCCGGCCUGAGAGAGUGGACGGUCACACUGGGACUGAGACACGGCCCAGACUCCUACGGGAGGCAGCAGUGGGGAAUAUUGCACAAUGGGCGCAAGCCUGAUGCAGCGACGCCGCGUGAGGGAUGGAGGCCUUCGGGUUGUGAACCUCUUUCGCCAGUGAAGCAGGCCUGCCUCGUUUGUGGGUGGGUUGACGGUAGCUGGAUAAGAAGCGCCGGCUAACUACGUG